rnacentral:rRNA from 1 species
GAUGAACGCUGGCGGCGUGCCUAAUACAUGCAAGUCGAGCGAACGGACGAGAAGCUUGCUUCUCUGAUGUUAGCGGCGGACGGGUGAGUAACACGUGGAUAACCUACCUAUAAGACUGGGAUAACUUCGGGAAACCGGAGCUAACACCGGAUGAUAUUUUGAACCGCAUGGUUCAAAAGUGAAAGACGGUCUUGCUGUCACUUAUAGAUGGAUCCGCGCUGCAUUAGCUAGUUGGUAAGGUAACGGCUUACCAAGGCAAGGAUGCAUAGCCGACCUGAGAGGGUGACCGCCCACCCUGGAACUGGGCCACGGUCCGGACUCCUCCGGGAGCCAGCAGUAGGGAUUCUUCCGCAAUGGGCGAAAGCCUGCCGGAGCACCGCCGCGUGAGUGAUGAAGGUCUUCGGAUCGUAAAACUCUGUUAUUAGGGAAGAACAUAUGUGUAAGUAACUGUGCACGUCUUGACGGUACCUAAUCAGAAAGCCACGGCUAACUACGUG